rnacentral:rRNA from 1 species
CGGGACGGGGUGGAGUAAUGUCUGGGAAACGUGCCUGAUGGAGGGGGGUAACUACUGGAAACGGGGGCUAAUACCGCAUAACGUCGCAAGACCAAAGAGGGGGACCGUUCGGGCCUCUUGCCAUCGGAUGUGCCCAGAUGGGAUUAGCUAGUAGGUGGGGUAACGGCUCACCUAGGCGACGAUCCCUAGCUGGUCUGAGAGGAUGACCAGCCACACUGGAACUGAGACACGGUCCAG